UUGAUGCUUGAGAUGAUUUUGUUUUACUGAAGAGGAUGUAUGUCCUCCCUUUGUCCUUUAUCCCCUUACUCUUUCUUUUUAGGUGUGAUUACGACUACCAGCAUGAACCUCAACACCUUCUUUGCUGUUCCACUAGUGUGACCCAUGAUUGUACAAGUUGUCAAGGAUAAACGGGAAGAGAAUCAUGUCAGCCCACAGACAACCGGUUGACCUGUUAUCCUUCAAGCAGUAAUGAUGACUACUCCUGCCUUAAGUUCAAGUUUCCUAAACAUCAUGUCGGCAUGAGAUUCUGUCCCCACCUGUCUUCAGUCUGGACCCAAUGAGUUUUUUUUUUUUACAGUGCGUUUACAGUCACAUGGUUUUUUUCGAGGCUUUGUCUGAGUUUCAGUGCUGCAGUUAUUUACCAUUCAGGGUUGUUCAGAAACAUCCAAUUUGUCAUUCUCAUUUGAAGGGCUUGCUGCUGUGAUUCUUUUGUGUACACCAGGAUUUCUUUGUAUUUUGGCAUUUUACACAAAUGUUUAUGAAAGAUGGUCAACAAAGUUGCACAAAUAAAUGUUUAACUGCU